rnacentral:rRNA from 1 species
GAUGAACGCUGGCGGCGUGCUUAACACAUGCAAGUCGAACGGAAAGGCCCAAGCUUGCUUGGGUGCUCGAGUGGCGAACGGGUGAGUAACACGUGGGUGAUCUGCCCUGCACUUUGGGAUAAGCCUGGGAAACUGGGUCUAAUACCGGAUAGGACCAUCGUUUAGGGUCGGGGGUGGAAAGUUUUUCGGUGUGGGAUGAGCUCGCGGCCUAUCAGCUUGUUGGUGGGGUAAUGGCCUACCAAGGCGUCGACGGGUAGCCGGCCUGAGAGGGUGUACGGCCACAUUGGGACUGAGAUACGGCCCAGACUCCUACGGGAGGCAGCAGUGGGGAAUAUUGCACAAUGGGCGCAAGCCUGAUGCAGCGACGCCGCGUGGGGGAUGACGGCCUUCGGGUUGUAAACUCCUUUCGCCAAGGACGAAGCGUUUUGUGACGGUACUUGGAGAAGAAGCACCGGCUAACUACGUG